UACGGAGGGAGCUAGCGUUGUUCGGAAUUACUGGGCGUAAAGCGCACGUAGGCGGCUAUUCAAGUCAGAGGUGAAAGCCCGGGGCUCAACCCCGGAACUGCCUUUGAAACUAGAUAGCUAGAAUCUUGGAGAGGUCAGUGGAAUUCCGAGUGUAGAGGUGAAAUUCGUAGAUAUUCGGAAGAACACCAGUGGCGAAGGCGACUGACUGGACAAGUAUUGACGCUGAGGCGCGAAAGCGUGGGGAGCAAACGGG
rnacentral:rRNA from 1 species